rnacentral:tRNA from 1 species
GGGGCUGUGGCUCAGUAGUAGAACAUCUGGUUUGCAGGCAGAAAGUCCCAGGUUCGAUCCCCAGCAGCUCCA